rnacentral:rRNA from 1 species
CUAGGUGUGGGUCCCAUUCCACGGGGUCCGUGCCGCAGCUAACGCAUUAAGCGCCCCGCCUGGGGAGUACGGCCGCAAGGCUAAAACUCAAAGGAAUUGACGGGGGCCCGCACAAGCGGCGGAGCAUGCGGAUUAAUUCGAUGCAACGCGAAGAACCUUACCAAGGCUUGACAUAUACCGGAAACUCCCAGAGAUGGGGGCCCCGCAAGGUCGGUAUACAGGUGGUGCAUGGUUGUCGUCAGCUCGUGUCGUGAGAUGUUGGGUUAAGUCCCGCAACGAGCGCAACCCUCGUUCUAUGUUGCCAGCACGUGAUGGUGGGGACUCAUAGGAGACUGCCGGGGUCAACUCGGAGGAAGGUGGGGAUGACGUCAAAUCAUCAUGCCCCUUACGUCUUGGGCUUCACGCAUGCUACAAUGGCCGGUACAGAGGGCUGCGAAACCGUGAGGUGGAGCGAAUCCCUUAAAGCUGGUCUCAGUUCGGAUUGGGGUCUGCAACUCGACCCCAUGAAGUCGGAGUCGCUAGUAAUCGCAGAUCAGCAACGCUGCGGUGAAUACGUUCCCGGGCCUUGUACACACCGCCCGUCAAGUCACGAAAGUCGGUAACACCCGAAGCCGGUGGCCCAACCUCUUGUAGGGGGGAGCCGUCGAAGGUGGGGCUG